CAAGUCGCGUGCGCAGUUGCCGUAGCAAUACGGUGAUGGGCGCACGGCGCACGGGUGCGUAACACGUGGGCAAUCUGCCCUCCGAUGGGGAAUAACCCCGCGAAAGCGGGGCUAAUACCGCAUAACAUUCCUUGAGCGAUGGUUCGAGGAUUCAAAGCAGUAAUGCGUCGGAGGAGGAGCCCGCGCCCGAUUAGCUAGUUGGUGAGGUAACGGCUCACCAAGGCAAUGAUCGGUAGCUGGUCUGAGAGGAUGAUCAGCCACACUGGAACUGAGACACGGUCCAGACUCCUACGGGAGGCAGCAGUGGGGAAUCUUGCACAAUGGGCGAAAGCCUGAUGCAGCGACGCCGCGUGGGGGAUGAAGCUUUUCGGAGUGUAAACCCCUUUCGCCUGGGACGAAUGCCCGCAAGGGAGUGACGGUACCAGGAUAAGAAGCCCCGGCUAACUACGUGCCAGCAGCCGCGGUAAGACGUAGGGGGCCAGCGUUGUUCGGAAUUACUGGGUGUAAAGGGUUCGUAGGCGGUGUGGCAAGUCGGGAGUGAAAUCUCUGGGCUCAACCCAGAGGCUGCUUCCGAAACUGCUGUGCUUGAGUGUGAGAGAGGCUCGUGGAAUUGCAGGUGUAGCGGUGAAAUGCGUAGAUAUCUGCAGGAACACCCGUGGCGAAAGCGGCGAGCUGGAUCACUACUGACGCUGAGGAACGAAAGCUAGGGGAGCAAACAGGAUUAGAUACCCUGGUAGUCCUAGCCCUAAACGAUCAGGACUUGGGGUGCCGCCCGUUCGGGCGUCGUCCCGGAGCUAACGCGUUAAGUCCUGCACCUGGGGAGUACGGUCGCAAGACUGAAACUCAAAGGAAUUGACGGGGGCCC
rnacentral:rRNA from 1 species